UACGUAGGGGCCUAGCGUUGUCCGGAAUUAUUGGGCGUAAAGAGUUCGUAGGUGGUUCGUUAAGUCUGGUGUAAAAGACUGGGGCUCAACCCUGGGAUCGCACUGGAUACUGGCGGACUUGAGUGUGGUAGAGGCAAGUGGAAUUCCCAGUGUAGCGGUGAAAUGCGUAGAUAUUGGGAAGAACACCGGUGGCGCAAGCGACUUGCUGGGCCAUAACUGACACUGAGGAACGAAAGCUAGGGGAGCGAAUGGG
rnacentral:rRNA from 1 species